rnacentral:rRNA from 1 species
GAUCCUGGCUCAGGAUGAACGCUAGCUACAGGCUUAACACAUGCAAGUCGAGGGGAAACGACAUCGAAAGCUUGCUUUUGAUGGGCGUCGACCGGCGCACGGGUGAGUAACGCGUAUCCAACCUGCCCAUCACUUGGGAAUAACCUUGCGAAAGUAAAGACUAAUACCCAACUGAUAUCCCACCGAAGGCAUCCGAAUGGGAGUUAAAGAAUUUAUUCGGUGAUGGAUGGGGAGUGCGUCUGAUUAGU